GAUGAACGCUGGCGGCGUGCCUAAUACAUGCAAGUCGAACGGAAAGGCCCGACGUUUGCUUGUCUGUUGUUAGGGGAAAACGGGUGUGUCACGCGUGGAUACCCUCCCUGUAUUUCUGGGAUAACUUCGGAAAACGGGCUCUAAUCCCGGAUAAUCUUUUGCACCACAUUGUUGGAUAGUGAAAGUCGGUCGUUGGGGAUCGUCUCGAUGCUUAUGAGCUUGAUGGUGUGGUAGUUGAGUACCAAGGUUUUGAAGGGUAGCCGGCCUGGGAGGGUUACCGGCCACAUUGGGACUGAGAUACGGCCCAGACUCCUACGGGAGGCAGCAGUGGGGAAUAUUGCACAAUGGGCGGAAGCCUGAUGCAGCAACGCCGCGUGCGGGAUGACGGCCUUCGGGUUGUAAACCGCUUUCGCCUGUGACGAAGCGUGAGUGACGGUAAUGGGUAAAGAAGCACCGGCUAACUACGUG
rnacentral:rRNA from 1 species